CAACUUUCAUUAUAUAUAUAUCUCGACUUUCAUUAUAUAUAUAUAUAUCGACUUUCAUUAUAUAUAUAUAUCGACUUUCACUAUAUAUAUAUCAACUUUCAUUAUAUAUAUAUCAAGUUUCAUUAUAUAUAUAUAUCAACUUUCAUUAUAUAUAUAUCAAGUUUCAUUAUAUAUAUAUCGACUUUCAUUAUAUAUAUAUAUCAACUUUCAUUAUAUAUAUAUCAAAUCUUUUUUUCCUACCGAGCCCCGGAAGGGACAUGUCCGUAUGGCGAAGCGACAACGAAGGACACUCACCCGGACGAGAAUUUUAUUGAGUUUUAUUUUAAAAUCGGCCUGAAACACACAGACAUUCAAGCAGUGCGAUGCGCUAAGAGUCUGCCAUGCAGACCAGCGAUCCUGAUAAUGUUGUCGGCCUUGGAUGAUGAGGUCCAGUUACCAGGAGCACUAGUCUGCAGCUUACUGGUUCCGUCCUGCAGCUCCUCCACGCUGUCCUCCUCUCUACAGACCAAAUCAAGAAAAGGGAACCAGGAAGCUGCUGUGGAUCCUCUGCAGUAUCUGGAGAGGUCAGAGGAACGGUUCUUGGAACAGAUCGGAAGACACCAAGACGUGACCUCUGCCAUGCUCCAGAACAUCCAGAAGAUGAAUGAAAACCUUGGUUGCACUGAUGGGACGCAUGGUGUCGGUGCUGGAGCAACUGUCCCAGAAUUAAACUGCAUUGUUGACUAUUGGCUUUUCUAGAAAAUAAAUCUUUUUUAGUACUUCAC